rnacentral:lncRNA from 1 species
AAGGAAAAGAUCCUAUGGAGCUGUCUUCUAUGCCAAGAUGGAAGUGCGGAGAUUCCACCUCCUGCCUAUUUUUGAGGUGAUGAUAAAAGAUAUUUUUCCCAUCUUGGUUUUGGGAUGAGCAUCGCAAACAUCACUGUGAGCAUCCAUCAAACAGCCCUCAGUUUCUUAGGACCUGUUGAAAAGUCUUGGAUUGGGUUUGCUCAGUCCAUCAAAAUGGAGUUUAAAAGACCAAUAAGAAUCUCAUGGAGAGAAAGAUUAAGCAGCAGUACCGUUUUUACUAUCAAAGAAUGUUUUUGGAUGUGCUAAGAAGAUCCCCUGAAACAACAUCAUCAAUUAGAUGGACAAAUCUUUAGAUUAGGAACUAUAUCGUUGGAACACAAUCAACUCGUGCGCCCGUCACAGUUAUUAUACAAUGAACGGAAGAGUAACAACUUAGUCUGUGCCAAGUGCUUACGAUCAGUCAGGCCUAUUUAACAUGAAGCUCUUCCCCACCAUGUCCUGAUGCCUCCGUCCUCUGCACUUUACCACUGUGACCUUUCACACAAGGUCCAGGAUCACUGUCUCACUCAAUGCCUAACAUGCAUCUGGAGAAUAUAGUAUCCAUUUUGCUUCCUUAUCAACGAAUGCCCGGUUGCUACUGAGGAAUUUAUGCACGAUGUGAUGGAUGAGAGCCACCCUUAGCCACCUUCUCUCCCCAGUGAAGGAAGAACGUAAUGAAACUCAGGUUGUAAAGAUGAUAGCAUUUGACUGGGCAAAUAAGCACCUGCAUGUCAUCCUCCUAAACCUUGAGAUGGAAGAGACAAUGUACCCAGAAUAAGCACCUGCAUGUCAUCCUCCUAAACCUUGAGAUGGAAGAGACAAUGUACCCAGAAUAAGCACCUGCAUGUCAUCCUCCUAAACCUUGAGAUGGAAGAGACAGUAUCAGAAUAUGGAGCACAUAUAGACUUGUGCCAAAUGAUACAGGUCUCAAUCCUGUUUAGCCACUUACUAGCUGUAUGACCUUGGGCAGAUUACUUAAUCUUUCUGCACUUUGGUUUCCUCAUCUACAAAACAGGGUUAAUAGUGCCUACU